UCCCUGGUGGUCCAGUGGCAAAGACUCUGUGCUCAUAGUACAAGAGGCCUGGGUUCGAGCCCUGGUCAGGGAA
rnacentral:tRNA from 1 species